rnacentral:rRNA from 1 species
UACGUAGGGCGCAAGCGUUGUCCGGAAUUAUUGGGCGUAAAGAGCUCGUAGGCGGCCUGUUACGUCUGCUGUGAAAUCCCGGGGCUUAACCCCGGGCGUGCAGUGGAUACGGGCAGGCUGGAGGCAGGCAGGGGAGAACGGAAUUCCCGGUGUAGCGGUGAAAUGCGCAGAUAUCGGGAGGAACACCGGUGGCGAAGGCGGUUCUCUGGGCCUGUACUGACGCUGAGGAGCGAAAGCUAGGGGAGCAAACAGG